GCGCGGGCUUUGCAAGCCUGAGGUCGCAGGUUCGAUCCCUGUCAGCUCCA
rnacentral:tRNA from 1 species